CGUCAAUGUCGCGGUAUCGAACUCAUUGCAUCAGAAAAUUUCACUUCAUUCGCUGUAAUUGAAGCUCUAGGCAGUGCCUUAACCAAUAAAUACUCAGAGGGUAUACCCGGAAACCGUUAUUACGGUGGAAAUGAAUACAUUGAUCAAAUCGAAAAUCUCACUAGAAGUCGAGCAUUACAAGCAUUUCACUUAGAUCCAACAAAAUGGGGUGUUAAUGUUCAGCCAUAUUCAGGUAGCCCAGCUAAUUUCGCUGCGUAUACAGCAGUUUUAAACCCCCACGAUAGGAUUAUGGGUUUAGAUUUGCCGUCGGGAGGGCAUUUAACUCAUGGGUAUUAUACAUCUGGUGGG
rnacentral:misc_RNA from 1 species